rnacentral:rRNA from 1 species
UACGUAGGUGGCGAGCGUUGUCCGGAUUUACUGGGCGUAAAGGGAGCGUAGGCGGACUUUUAAGUGAGAUGUGAAAUACCCGGGCUCAACUUGGGUGCUGCAUUUCAAACUGGAAGUCUAGGGUGCAGGAGAGGAGAAUGGAAUUCCUAGUGUAUCGGUGAAAUGCGUAGAGAUUAGGAAGAACACCAGUGGCGAAGGCGAUUCUCUGGACUGUAACUGACACUGAGGCACGAAAGCGUGGGGAGCAAACAGGAUUAGAUACCCCCGUAGU